rnacentral:rRNA from 1 species
AUUGAACGCUGGCGGAAUGCUUUACACAUGCAAGUCGAACGGUAGAGGGGGCAACCUCUCGAGAGUGGCGAACGGGUGAGUAAUAUAUCGGAACGUGCCCAGUCGUGGGGAUAACGUAGCGAAAGUUACGCUAAUACCGCAUACGAUCUACGGAUGAAAGCGGGGGACUCGCAAGAGCCUCGCGCGAUUGGAGCGGCCGAUAUCAGAUUAGGUAGUUGGUGGGGUAAAGGCUCACCAAGCCAACGAUCUGUAGCUGGUCUGAGAGGACGACCAGCCACACUGGAACUGAGACACGGUCCAGACUCCUACGGGAGGCAGCAGUGGGGAAUUUUUGGACAAUGGACGCAAGUCUGAUCCAGCCAUUCCGCGUGCAGGAUGAAGGCCCUCGGGUUGUAAACUGCUUUUGUACGGAACGAAAAGGUUUCCAUUAAUACUGGGGACUCAUGACGGUACCGUAAGAAUAAGCACCGGCUAACUACGUG